rnacentral:rRNA from 1 species
CAAAGGAGCAGUCCGCUGAAAGAUGGGCUCGCGUCCGAUUAGGUAGUUGGCGGGGCAACGGCCCACCAAGCCGACGAUCGGUAGCCGGACUGAGAGGUUGAACGGCCACAUUGGGACUGAGACACGGCCCAGACUCCUACGGGAGGCAGCAGUGAGGGAUAUUGGUCAAUGGGGGAAACCCUGAACCAGCAACGCCGCGUGAGGGAAGACGGUUUUCGGAUUGUAAACCUCUGUCCUCUGUGAAGAUGAUGACGGUAGCAGAGGAGGAAGCUCCGGCUAACUACGUGCCAGCAGCCGCGGUAAUACGUAGGGAGCAAGCGUUGUCCGGAUUUACUGGGUGUAAAGGGUGCGUAGGCGGCUUUGCAAGUCAGAAGUGAAAUCCAUGGGCUUAACCCAUGAACUGCUUUUGAAACUGCAGAGCUUGAGUGGAGUAGAGGUAGGCGGAAUUCCCGGUGUAGCGGUGAAAUGCGUAGAGAUCGGGAGGAACACCAGUGGCGAAGGCGGCCUGCUGGGCUCUAACUGACGCUGAGGCACGAAAGCGUGGGUAGCAAACAGGAUUAGAUACCCUGGUAGUCCACGCUGUAAACGAUGAUUACUAGGUGUGGGUGGACUGACCCCAUCC